rnacentral:rRNA from 1 species
CCUACGGGAGGCAGCAGUGAGGAAUAUUGGUCAAUGGGCGAGAGCCUGAACCAGCCAAGUCGCGUGAGGGAGUACUGCCCUAUGGGUUGUAAACCUCUUUUGUCGGGGAGCAAAAGCCGUACGUGUCCGGCUGUGAGAGUACCCGAAGAAACAGCAUCUGCUAACUCCGUGCCAGCAGCCGCGGUAAUACGGAGGAUGCGAGCGUUAUCCGGAUUUAUUGGGUUUAAAGGGUGCGCAGGCGGAUUUUUAAGUCAGCGGUAAAAUCGUGGGGCUCAACCCCAUCCAGCCGUUGAAACUGGGGAUCUAGAGUGUGCGAGAGGUAUGCGGAAUGCGUGGUGUAGCGGUGAAAUGCAUAGAUAUCACGCAGAACCCCGAUUGCGAAGGCAGCAUACCGGUGCACAACUGACGCUCAGGCACGAAAGCGUGGGUAUCGAACAGGAUUAGAUACCCUUGUAGUC